AUUGAACGCUGGCGGCAGGCCUAACACAUGCAAGUCGAGCGGAUGAAGGGAGCUUGCUCCUGGAUUCAGCGGCGGACGGGUGAGUAAUGCCUAUGAAUCUGCCUGGUAGUGGGGGAUAACGUCCGGCAACGGGCGCUAAUACCGCAUACGUCCUGAGGGAGAAAGUGGGGGAUCUUCGGACCUCACGCUAUCAGAUGAGCCUAGGUCGGAUUAGCUAGUUGGUGGGGUAAAGGCCUACCAAGGCGACGAUCCGUAACUGGUCUGAGAGGAUGAUCAGUCACACUGGAACUGAGACACGUUCCAGACUCCUACGGGAGGCAGCAGUGGGGAAUAUUGGACAAAGGGCGAAAGCCUGAUCCAGCCAUGCCGCGUGUGUGAAGAAGGUCUUCGGAUUGUAAAGCACUUUAAGUUGGGAGGAAGGGCAGUAAGUUAAUACCUUGCUGUUUUGACGUUACCAACAGAAUAAGCACCGGCUAACUUCGUG
rnacentral:rRNA from 1 species